rnacentral:miRNA from 1 species
ACUCUCGUCUGCUCUGACCC